rnacentral:rRNA from 1 species
CCUACGGGAGGCUGCAGUGAGGAAUAUUGGUCAAUGGACGAGAGUCUGAACCAGCCAAGUAGCGUGAAGGAUGACUGCCCUACGGGUUGUAAACUUCUUUUAUAAAGGAAUAAAACGAGGCACGUGUGCCUCUUUGCAUGUACUUUAUGAAUAAGGAUCGGCUAACUCCGUGCCCGCAGCCGCGGUAAUACGGAGGAUCCGAGCGUUAUCCGGAUUUAUUGGGUUUAAAGGGAGCGUAGGUGGGUUGUUAAGUCAGUUGUGAAAGUUUGCGGCUCAACCGUAAAAUUGCAAUUGAUACUGGAAGUCUUGAGUGCAGUUAGGGAAGGCGGAAUUCGUGGUGUAGCGGUGAAAUGCUUAGAUAUCACGAAGAACCCCGAUUGCGAAGGCAGCUGACUAAAGUGUGACUGACAUUGAUGCUCGAAAGUGUGGGUAUCAAACAGGAUUAGAUACCCCGGUAGUC